rnacentral:rRNA from 1 species
GAUGAACGCUGGCGGCGUGCCUAAUACAUGCAAGUCGAGCGAACAGACGAGGAGCUUGCUCCUCUGACGUUAGCGGCGGACGGGUGAGUAACACGUGGAUAACCUACCUAUAAGACUGGGAUAACUUCGGGAAACCGGAGCUAAUACCGGAUAAUAUAUUGAACCGCAUGGUUCAAUAGUGAAAGACGGUUUUGCUGUCACUUAUAGAUGGAUCCGCGCCGCAUUAGCUAGUUGGUAAGGUAACGGCUUACCAAGGCAACGAUGCGUAGCCGACCUGAGAGGGUGAUCGGCCACACUGGAACUUAAACACGGUCCAGACUCCUACGGGAGGCAGCAGUAUGGAAUCUUCCGCAAUGGGCGAAAGCUUGACGGAGCAACGCCGCGUGAGUUAUGAAGGUCUUCGGAUCGUAAAACUCUGUUAUUAGGGAAGAACAAAUGUGUAAGUAACUAUGCACGUCUUGACGGUACCUAAUCAGAAAGCCACGGCUAACUACGUG